rnacentral:rRNA from 1 species
UUGAUGGUUCCUUACUACACGGAUAACUGUAGUAAUUCUAGAGCUAAUACGUGCGUAAAAUCCCGACUCUCGCGGGGAGGGAUGUAUUUAUUAGAUAAAAAACCAAUGCGGACUCUGUCCGGUUUUGUGGUGAAUCAUAGUAACUUUUCGAAUCGCAUGACUUCACGUCGGCGAUGGUUCAUUCAAAUUUCUGCCCUAUCAGCUUUCGACGGUAGUGUAGUGGACUACCGUGGCGUUAACGGGUAACGGAGAAUUAGGGUUCGAUUCCGGAGAGGGAGCCUGAGAAACGGCUACCACAUCCAAGGAAGGCAGCAGGCGCGCAAAUUACCCAAUUCUGACACAGAGAGGUAGUGACAAAAAAUAACAAUACCUGGCUUCUUUAGGUCGGGUAAUUGGAAUGAGUACAAUUUAAAUCCCUUAACGAGGAUCCAUUGGAGGGUAAGUCUGGUGCCAGCAGCCGCGGUAAUUCCAGCUCCAAGAGCGUAUAUUAAAGUUGUUGCAGUUAAAAAGCUCGUAGUUGGAUUUCUGGUACAACGCGCCUGGCCCGCUUACGUGAGUGCCGGUGCGCGUUUGCCAUCCUUCUAGAAAACGUCUCUACUCGGGCAACUGAGCCGGAUUCGCGAUCUAGAUCUUUUACUUUGAAAAAAUUAGAGUGUUUAAAGCAGGCUAUUGCCUUGAAUACAUUAGCAUGGAAUAAUAAUCUAGGACUUCGGUUCUAUUUUGUUGGUUUCUAGUACUGAAGUAAUGAUUGAUAGGGAUAGUUGGGGGUGCUAGUAUUGACCGGCCAGAGGUGAAAUUCUUGGAUUCGGUCAAGACUAACUUAUGCGAAAGCAUUCACCAAGGAUGUCUUCUCUAAUCAAGAACGAAAGUUGGGGGAUCGAAGACGAUCAGAUACCGUCGUAGUCUCAACCAUAAACUAUGCCAACUAGGGAUGGGUGAACGUUGUUUUUUUGACUUCAUCUGCACCUUAUGAGAAAUCAAAGUCUUUGGG